rnacentral:rRNA from 1 species
CGGAUCAGCAGCAAUGCUGGUUAGUGGCGAACGGUCGCGUAACACGUAAGCAACCUGCCUCGAAGUUUGGGAUAACAGCCCGAAAGGGCUGCUAAUACCGGAUGUGGACCAGAAUCGGCAUCGGUUUUUGUCUAAAGAUUUAUCGCUUCGAGAUGGGCUUGCGGCCUAUCAGGUAGUUGGUGGGGUAACGGCCUACCAAGCCGACGACGGGUAGCUGGUCUGAGAGGACGAUCAGCCGGAUUGGGACUGAGAUACGGCCCAGACUCCUACGGGGGGCAGCAAUUAGGAAUCUUGCACAAUGGGGGAAACCCUGAUGCAGCGACGCCGCGUGAAGGAUGAAGCAUUUCGGUGUGUAAACUUCUUUUGAUGGGGAAGAAUUUUGACGGUACCCAUCGAAUAAGCCCCGGCUAACUACGUGCCAGCAGCCGCGGUAAUACGUAGGGGGCGAGCGUUGUCCGAAUUUACUGGGCGUAAAGCGCGCGUAGGCGGUCUCUUAAGUCUGGGGUGAAAGGUUCAACGCUCAACGUGAACAGUGCCUUGGAUACUGGGAGACUUGAGUCUGGGAGGGGGCAGUGGAAUUCCUGGUGUAGCGGUGAAAUGCGUAGAUAUCAGGAGGAACACCGGUGGCGAAGGCGGCUGCCUGGCCUAAGACUGACGCUGAGGUGCGAAAGCGUGGGUAGCGAACGGGAUUAGAUACCCCGGUAGUCCACGCCGUAAACGAUGAGUGCUAGUGUUANGGGGGGUAUCGACCCCCCCUGUGCCGUCGCCAACGCAUUAAGCACUCCGCCUGGGGAGUACGGCCGCAAGGUUGAAACUCAAAGGAAUUGACGGGGGCCCGCACAAGCGGUGGAGCAUGUGGAUUAAUUCGUCACUAACCGAAGAACCUUACCCAGGUUUGAC